GAUGAACGCUGGCGGUGUGCCUAAUACAUGCAAGUCGAGCGGCAGCACGGUCUUCGGACUGGUGGCGAGCGGCGGACGGCUGAGUAACGCGUAGGAACGUGCCCCAAAGUGAGGGAUAGCCCACCGAAAGGUGGAUUAAUACCGCAUAUGAUCUUCGGAUUAAAGUAUUUAUAUGCUUUGGGAGCGGCCUGCGUACGAUUAGAUUGUUGGUGAGGUAAAGGCUCACCAAGUCGACGAUCGUUAGCUGGUCUGAGAGGAUGAUCAGCCAGACUGGGACUGAGACACGGCCCAGACUCCUACGGGAGGCAGCAGUAAGGAAUCUUCCACAAUGGGCGAAAGCCUGAUGGAGCAACACCGCGUGAAGGAUGAAGGCCCUCGGGUCGUAAACUUCUUUUAUGAGCGAAGAAUAUGACGGUAACUCAUGAAUAAGGGUCGGCUAACUACGUGCCAGCAGCCGCGGUAA
rnacentral:rRNA from 1 species